CCUACGGGUGGCUGCAGUGAGGAAUAUUGGUCAAUGGACGGAAGUCUGAACCAGCCACGCCGCGUGCAGGAAGACGGCUCUAUGAGUUGUAAACUGUUUUUGUACAAGGGUAAAUCUGAAUACGUGUAUUCAGCUGAAAGUACUGUACGAUUACGGAACGGCCAACUCCGUGCCAGCAGCCGCGGUAAUACGGAGGUACCAAGCGUUAUCCGGAUUUAUUGGGUUUAAAGGGUGCGUAGGCGGAUUGAUAAGUUAGAGGUGAAAUGUCCGGGCUUAACUCGGGGACUGCCUUUAAUACUGUUGAUCUGGAGAGUAGGUGCGGUAGGCGGAAUGUAUGGUGUAGCGGUGAAAUGCUUAGAGAUCAUACAGAACACCGAUUGCGAAGGCAGCUUGC
rnacentral:rRNA from 1 species